rnacentral:rRNA from 1 species
GCCCCCGUCUCAGCCUGAAGGCGCCCGAUCUCGUCUGAUCUCGGAAGCUAAGCAGGGUCGGGCCUGGUUAGUAUCUUGGAUGGGAGACCACCUGGGAAUCCCGGGUGCUCGAGGCU